rnacentral:piRNA from 1 species
UUCUCCUUCAUGGAACUCAGCAG